rnacentral:rRNA from 1 species
AGUGGCGAAGGCGUCAGAUUAACACAGCUCCGACGGUGAGGAACGAAACCCUGGGGCGCAAACGGGAUUAGAUACCCCGGUAGUCCAGGGCGUUAAACGCUGUGGGCUUGGUGUUGGAUGUCCUAUGGGGGCAUUCAGUGCCGGAGAGAAGUUGUUAAGCCUACUGCCUGGGGAAUACGGUCGCAAGGCUGAAACUUAAAGGAAUUGGCGGGGGAGCACAGCAACGGGUGGAGCGUGCGGUUUAAUUGGAUUCAACGCCGGAAAACUCACCGGAGGUGACUGCCACAUGAGAGUCAGGCUAAAGACUUUACUCGAUUAAUAGGUAGAGAGGUGGUGCAUGGCCGUCGUCAGUUCGUACUGUAAAGCGUUCUGUUAAGUCAGAUAACGAACGAGACCCCUGCUGCUAGUUGCUACUCAUCUCCCCGGAGAUGAGGCACACUAUCGGGACCGCUGUCGCUAAACCAGAGGAAGGGGGGGGCAACGGUAGGUCAGUAUGCCCUGAAUCCUCCGGGCUACACGCGCGCUACAAAGGAUAGGACAAUGAGUUUCGACUCCGAGAGGGGAAGGUAAACCCGAAACCUAUACCGUAGUUCGGAUUGAGGUUGCAACUCACCUUCAUGAAGCUGGAAUCCGUAGUAAUCGCGGAUCAACAUUCCGCGGUGAAUACGCCCCUGCUCCUUGCACACACCGCCCGUCGUUCCAUCCGAGUGGGGUUUGGAUGAGGCGUGGUCCUUUGUGGCUGUGUCGAAUCUAGGCUCUGUGAGGAGAAAGAAGUCGUAACAAGGUAACC